AGUCAAUAGAUACCCAGGUAGUCCACGCCGUAAACGAUGAGUACUAGGUGUAGGAGGUAUCGACUCCUUCUGUGCCGCAGUUAACACAAUAAGUACUCCGCCUGGGAAGUACGGUCGCAAGAUUAAAACUCAAAGGAAUUGACGGGGGCCGCACAAGCAGCGGAGCAUGUGGUUUAAUUUACGAAGCAACGCGAAGAACCUUACCUAGACUUGACAUCUCCUGAAUAGUGUAGAGAUACAUGAAGCCCUUCGGGUCGAGAAGACAGGUGGUGCAUGGUUGUCGUCAGCUCGUGUCGUGAGAUGUU
rnacentral:rRNA from 1 species